rnacentral:rRNA from 1 species
AGAAUCAACGCUGGCGGCGUGCCUAACACAUGCAAGUCGAACGAGAAAGUGGAGCAAUCCAUGAGUAAAGUGGCGCACGGGUGAGUAACACGUGACUAACCUACCUUUUAGUGGGGGAUAACCUAGGGAAACCUGGGCUAAUACCGCAUAAUACCUACGGGUCAAAGCAGCAAUGCGCUGAAAGAGGGGGUCGCGGCCGAUUAGCUAGUUGGCGGGGUAAUGGCCCACCAAGGCAGUGAUCGGUAUCCGGCCUGAGAGGGCGCACGGACACACUGGAACUGAAACACGGUCCAGACUCCUACGGGAGGCAGCAGUGGGGAAUUUUGCGCAAUGGGGGAAACCCUGACGCAGCAACGCCGCGUGGAGGAUGAAGUCCCUUGGGACGUAAACUCCUUUCGAUCGGGACGAUAAUGACGGUACCGGAAGAAGAAGCCCCGGCUAACUUCGUGCCAGCAGCCGC